rnacentral:rRNA from 1 species
UACGAAGGGGGCAAGCGUUAUCCGGAUUCACUGGGUUUAAAGGGUGCGUAGGUGGGUUGGUAAGUCAGUGGUGAAAUCUCCAGGCUUAACUUGGAAACUGCCAUUGAUACUAUCAAUCUUGAAUACCGUGGAGGUCAGCGGAAUAUGUCAUGUAGCGGUGAAAUGCUUAGAUAUGACAUAGAACACCAAUUGCGAAGGCAGCUGGCUACACGAAUAUUGACACUGAUGCACGAAAGCGUGGGGAUCAAACAGG